rnacentral:misc_RNA from 1 species
AAGUCGUAACAAGGUUUUUCCUUCCGGUUAAAAGCUUUAACCCGCUGAAGCCUGACAUGGGCGACUAUAAAAUAAUCAUGGAGUCUUGCCAAAUGGGCAGGACAAUACCGCUGAAUUGCUGUGAUCAAACGAAUUGUUGUACCAGCAGCCCGUAACAGGGCCCACAGAUCAAGCCGCGGUGGUUCCACCUAGAAAAUAAUUAGGCAGAACUUCAAUAUGACCGGUCUCGCCUGUGACGGCUGAGAGUGUACGUUCCGUAGGUGAACCUGCGGAAG